rnacentral:rRNA from 1 species
UACGUAGGGUGCGAGCGUUGUCCGGAAUUAUUGGGCGUAAAGGGCUCGUAGGCGGUUUGUCGCGUCGGGAGUGAAAACCCAGGGCUUAACCCUGGGCUGGCUUCCGAUACGGGCAGACUAGAGGUAUGCAGGGGGAGAACGGAAUUCCUGGUGUAGCGGUGAAAAUGCGCAGAUAUCAGGAGGAACACCGGUGGCGAAGGCGGUUCUCUGGGCAUUACCUGACGCUGAGGAGCGAAAGCGUGGGGAGCGAACAGG